rnacentral:rRNA from 1 species
GGCGGCGUGCUACCAUGCAGUCGAACGAGAACGGAUUAAGCUUGCUUUAAUUGUCAGCUAAGUGGCGCACGGGUGAGUAAUAUAUAGUUAACCUGCCUCAAAGAAGGGAAUAAUUGUUGGAAACGACUUGUAACGCCCUAUAUGCCUUUAUCACAUAAGUGAGCAAGGGAAACAUUUAUGGCUUUGAGAUGGGACUGUACGGUAUCAGUUAGUUGGUGAGGUAAUGGCUCACCAAGACAAUGACGCCUAACUGGUUUGAGAGGAUGAUCAGUCACACUGGAACUGAGACACGGUCCAGACUCCUACGGGAGGCAGCAGUGGGGAAUAUUGCACAAUGGAGGAAACUCUGAUGCAGCAACGCCGCGUGGAGGAUGACACAUUUCGGUGCGUAAACUCCUUUUAUAUAAGAAGAUAAUGACGGUAUUAUAUGAAUAAGCACCGGCUAACUCCGUGCCAGCAGCCGCGGUAAUACGGGGGGUGCAAGCGUUACUCGGAAUCACUGGGCGUAAAGAGCAUGUAGGCUGGUAAAUAAGUUGGAAGUGAAAUCCUAUGGCUUAACCAUAGAACUGCUUCCAAAACUGUUUACCUAGAGUAUGGGAGAGGUA